rnacentral:rRNA from 1 species
AGUAGUUUGAUCCUGGCUACAGAACGAACGCUGGCGGCAGGCUUAACACAUGCAAGUCGAACGCCCCGCAAGGGGAGUGGCGCACGGGUGAGUAACGCGUGGGAAUAUGCCCUUCGGUUCGGAAUAACACAGGGAAACUUGUGCUAAUACCGGAUACGAUCUACGGAUGAAAGAUUCAUCGCCGAGGGAGUAGCCCGCGUCAGAUUAGCUAGUUGGUGGGGUAAUGGCCUACCAAGGCGACGAUCUGUAGCUGGUCUGAGAGGAUGAUCAGCCACACUGGGACUGAGACACGGCCCAGACUCCUACGGGAGGCAGCAGUGGGGAAUAUUGGACAAUGGGGGAAACCCUGAUCCAGCCAUGCCGCGUGAGUGAUGAAGGCCUUAGGGUUGUAAAGCUCUUUCGUCGGGGAAGAUAAUGACGGUACCCGAAGAAGAAGCCUCGGCUAACUCCGUG